rnacentral:rRNA from 1 species
UACAGAGGUGGCAAGCGUUGUUCGGAAUUACUGGGCGUAAAGGGCUCGUAGGCGGCCAACUAAGUCAGACGUGAAAUCCCCAGGCUCAACCUGGGAACUGCGUCUGAUACUGGAUGGCUUGAAUCCGGGAGAGGGAUGCAGAAUUCCAGGUGUAGCGGUGAAAUGCGUAGAUAUCUGGAGGAACACCGGUGGCGAAGGCGGCAUCCUGGACCAACACUGACGCUGAGGAGCGAAAGCCAGGGGAGCAAACGGG